rnacentral:rRNA from 1 species
GAUGAACGCUAGCGGGAGGCCUAACACAUGCAAGCCGAGCGGUAUUUGUUCUUCGGAACAGAGAGAGCGGCGCACGGGUGCGGAACACGUGUGCAACCUGCCUUUAUCUGGGGGAUAGCCUUUCGAAAGGAAGAUUAAUACCCCAUAAUAUAUUGAGUGGCAUCACUUGAUAUUGAAAACUCCGGUGGAUAGAGAUGGGCACGCGCAAGAUUAGAUAGUUGGUGAGGUAACGGCUCACCAAGUCAAUGAUCUUUAGGGGGCCUGAGAGGGUGAUCCCCACACUGGUACUGAGACACGGACCAGACUCCUACGGGAGGCAGCAGUGAGGAAUAUUGGACAAUGGGUUAGCGCCUGAUCCAGCCAUCCCGCGUGAAGGACGACGGCCCUAUGGGUUGUAAACUUCUUUUGUAUAGGGAUAAACCUACUCUCGUGAGAGUAGCUGAAGGUACUAUACGAAUAAGCACCGGCUAACUCCGUG